GUAGCUCAUUAAGGUGGCUGUUUGCAGCCGGCCGGGCGGAGCAGAGCAGGGCUUAUAAAAGCCCAAAUUAGCAUCCCUGCCAGGUUGUGGGCACACCGGGCUCUGCAGUCACAGUGAAGGCGAGGGGCCCUGAAAGCAAUGUGGGGACAGCACAAAUAGUUGUUCCAGAGCAGCAAUGACUUCUCCCUACUGCAAUUAGAUACAGAGAGACGUGCGGCUUUAUUCUCAGUACAAUACUACAGUAGUUGGCAGCCCCGUGCUGACUUGCAGUGGUGCGUGAAGAGCAGCGGGAGGCUGGAAGCAGCAGUGGCCUGCAGGAGAGCUGUCACCACACCAGCAGUCAGGGAAAGGAACGGGCGAAGGAUCAGCUCCUGGCUGCCUCCACGUGUGCGCCCUUGUGGGAAAGGAGCGGGCAGCGGGGGGCACGGCCAUAGCCAAGCCCUGUAAGUCCCCAGGGUCUGUGAGCUGCAACGUCACCUGCACUUCAUCCUUGUAGAAGAGCUCUGGAAUCUUCCCGUGCUCCCUCUGUUCACAUCAAACCGCCCGCAGCUGCAGGAAGAUCCGCUGGGGAGGCAGCUUGUUGGCGCUCCAGCUGCGAGAGGCUGGGGCUGAUAAUCUGCCAGCCUCCGAACUUGUUUACAGCAGUCAUGAAAAGACUGUUUUAUUUCAAUCUGUAGAAGAGAAUGAUGAAAUCCAUUACAUCCGAUACUCUGAAAACAUCUACAGCACAGCUUUGUGCUUUUAAGCUCCAGCUUCAGUGAGCAGUUGCUGAAUCAGUUGUGGUGUGGGGAGGUAGGGACAGAGCCCCCCAACAGAGUUCUGGGUGCGUGUGCCAGAAUGCCUCACCUGGAGCAGGGUGAGGAGCUCUCCAAAGUGCCCCAGCUCUGACCUGAAAUGCAGACUGGGGGAAAAAAACAGAAGAGACCCUCAGAGUGGUCAUUCCCCAGGAUUCCCAGGAGUGAAAUUGGAAGGGCUUAAAUUGUGGAAAUGGCUUGUUUGGUGAAGUUACAGCCCUAAAUUGAAGCCAUCUGUGAUGCCGUGCAGUUUCUGCCAUCCAGUACAUUCCCAAGCUGUCCGCUGUGCUAAAUCAUCUCCCCAUGGCAGACGUGCUCGUGUUGCUGCUCUCCCUGUCCGUAGCUGGUGUUAAGCAGGCGAAGGGCAGUGCAGCAGCAGGGCUGGAAGGGAAUUUACCAGCUGUUGGCAACCCACAUCAGAUCAUCAUUUUGAACGAGUUAUUCAGGAUAUCAUUAGAGAUCCUCAGCAUACGGACGAGAGGAAAAAAAUAGCUUUAAGACAUUGUCUUAAAAGGACGCUAACGCAGGUGUGCUUAUCCCAGGUCACUUUGGGAAAACACGAGAGUGGCUCAGCACUGGUACCCAGCUGGCUCCUGUUGCUGCCCCAAAGCCAUCGUCUGAGUGGAGGAAUGCAAGGAGAAGCAGAGACGCAGCUCUCAGCGUGCACAGCUCCCUAAAAAGGGUUGGAAAUGCUGAAAACCCACAGCCUGCCCUGUUUCCAUGGCAACAGGAGGAUGCAUCCAAAAGGACAAAGUUUGAAACACUCCCACAGAUGAGCUGGGAUUUUGUUUUUGUAACUCGAUUAUAUAUUAUUAUAUCUUGUGGCUAUAGUUUUAAUAGAUUUCUAAACUUCUUACAGAUGUUUUACAGGUUUAUUUUUACCUCUAUCUGGUGCAAAAAAAAACAAACAAAUUAGAGGAAGUAAAAAAAAAAAAAAAAGCAAAGAGUUGGGAGUCAAAUGUCAGUGCAUCUUUGAUCUCCUCGUCACGUAGCUCCGGUUGUAUCUGUUUAGAAGCACCAGAUUUGCAUAUUCAUGUCCCUUAAUUUGCUCUUUGGAUGCGGAAAUCUAAUAAUUAGUGAAGAAAAUGUUUCUGUGCAGAGGGAAACCCUGGUUAUGCAACAGAUGCAUUAAGAAAAAUAAUCAGGCAUAACUGUCCAUCCCCGAGAAAAGGCUGUCUGUAAUUAAAAGCUUAGCAAAGACACAAAAAAUCAUUUCUGUGCGUAUCUGGGGCCCUCAUGGAGGUGGUGGUGGGGUCGGUGCCCCCGGUGUCUGCCCUCUUCCCAGGGCUGGGAGCAGCCGUGGGGCAGGAGAUGGACGGCUGGAUGUGCAGCUGCUGUGAACAGCUAAGCUGUCAAGUGAUAAAUCCCUUAUGUUCACCCUUAAUUAAAUUUCUUUUAGAAGCACAA